rnacentral:rRNA from 1 species
CGUGUAGGCGGGAAGGAAAGUCAGAUGUGAAAUCCCCAGGCUCAACCUGGGAACUGCAUUUGAAACUCCCUUUCUUGAGUACCGGAGAGGAAAGUGGAAUUCCUGGUGUAGAGGUGAAAUUCGUAGAUAUCAGGAGGAACACCAGUGGCGAAGGCGGCUUUCUGGACGGUAACUGACGCUGAGACGCGAAAGCGUGGGGAGCAAACA